GUGCCCUCAGUCUUUCCCAACAUCAGGGUCUUUUCCAGGGAGUCUUCUCUUCUCAUGAUGUGGCCAAAGUAUUGGAGCCUCAGCUUCAGGAUCUGUCCUUCCAGUGAGCACUCAGGGCUGAUUUAGUUUGCCUACUCAAGCCCUAAGGCCUGAGGUUGCCCACCUUUGCCCAAGGUGUGCCUUCCAAAAGCUUCUGAAAAGCAAAGCCAGCCAGGUAAUAUUCCAAUGGCGGUAACUUCUGCAAGGAAAGAGACAUAAACAGUGUUUUUGAUGCAGGCAAAGAAGCAAAAGAACAGAAACAAACAAAGAAGACUUUCAUCUAUUUUGAUAAAAGCCACUUCCUUGCGACUUCUUUUUCAUGCCCUCUUCCCCGCCCUCCUCUCUGUCCCGCAGGGAUCAGCUGGCUGUUUUCUUCAUAAAUAGAUCUUGGCGCUGACUCUAAAAUGUCACUGCGAACAAUGCAAUGUCCCCAGCUGAACGGUCCGUGUGAUGCGAUCCUCAAUAGUCGUUUUGUGUGAGCCUCUUGUGGCCCUCAGCGGCUGAUAAAAAUAGCAAAGAGUACAGGAAAGAGAAGUGGAGGGGUGGCAGGGAGGAUUAUUCCGUAAAUAGAUUGAACGGCCGUUAACCAUUUAGCCUGGCAGCCGGCACAUUUUGCUGAGUGGAUGUGAAAGGCGCAUCAGAGCACCACCAACAUACCUUUGAUUAUGCUCUGCAUUGCUAUAUCUCUGCCUGGAAGCCAGCCAUUCUAAACGUGCUUAAUUGCACACGGCACCCUCAGACAGAUUUGGCAGACUGGUACAGCUUUAUUUGCAGAGGAAAGUAUGCGCUUCAAUUUUAUUUCAGGAUGCGAAUGAGAUGGAUUCCUAACUGGCUUUGUCUGGACCUUUUUGCUGGGUUAAUUUCAGCACAACUCGAAGGCUCUCGUCUCAGAUGCCCCACCACAAACCCUCCAGAUGUCCCUGUUUUCCAGGGCCAGUCCCGGAUUUACAGAAUUUACUUGAUCUCAGAAUGUCCUGCUUUUCCUUAGGACAUCCCUAUUUUCACUGGAGAAAUGCUAGAGGGUAUGCAGUUAUGCAACCUCCAAGCCAAGAAGAUAAGGAACUAUACAACCUUUAGAAGACAUCUGAAGGCAGCCAUGUGUAGGGAACUUUGUUUUCUUAUGUUUAAUGUUUUCUUAUGUUUUUAUAUAUGUUGGAAGCUGCUCAGAGUGGCUGGGGCAACCCACUCAGACGGGCAGGAUAUAAAUAAUAAGAUUAUUAUUACAGUGGUACCUCGGGUUACAUAUGCUUCAGGUUACAUACGCUUCAGAUUACAGACUCUGCUAACCCAGAAAUAGUGCUUCAGGUUAAGAACUUUGCUUCAGGAUGAGAACAGAAAUCGUGCUCCAGCGGCACGGCAGCAGCAGGAGGCCUCAUUAGCAAAAGUGGUGCUUCAGGUUAAGAACAGUUUCAGGUUAAGAACGGACCUCCGGAACAAAUUAAGUACUUAACCCGAGGUACCACUGUAUUAUUAUUAUUAUUAUGGAAUAGAUGUCCCUGUUUUCAUCAGAAAAUAUGUCAGAGGGUAUGCCACUAAUUUCGAAGUGUAGGGCAGGGGUCAGUAAACUUUUUUUAGCAGGGGGCCGGUCCACUGUCGUUCAGACCUUGUGGGGGGCCGGACUAUAUUUUGGAAAAAUAAUAAUAAUGAAUUCCUAUGCCCCACAAAUAACCCAGAGAUGCAUUUUAAAUAAAAGGACACAUUCUACGCAUGUAAAAUCACGCUGAUUCCUGGAUCGUCCACAGGCUGGAUUUAGAAGGAGAUUGGGCCGGAUCUGCCCCCCCGGGCCUUAGUUUGCCUACCCAUGGUGUAGGACUUGAACCAAUGGAUUCAAGCAGCAAGAAAGGUGAUUCCAAACAAACACAGGAAGAACUUUCUGAUGGUAAGAGCUGUUUGACAGUGCAACGAGCUCCCUCAAAAAGUGGUGAAUUCUCCCUUUUUGGAGGCUUUUAGACAUUGGUUGGAUGGCCAUCAGUCAUGGAUGCUUGAGAUGAGAUUCUUGCAUUGCAAAGGGUUUGGACUAGGUGACUCUAUGAGUACCUUCCAACUAUCCAAUACUAUGAUUCUUUGAAUCCCAGAUGCCAUUCCAUUAUGGAAUAUUAACAAACAAAUGCUUGCUGUGCGGAAAUGAAAGUGUAGAAAUUAAGGCCGGAGUUACAUUAAGAGGUAAAAGGAAAACAAAGCACACGGCUACAGAUGAAAGCCGUCAGUAAUUGAUUGGUCUCUAGAUUGAGAAUAAUAUUUACUAAGCGCUCAGGCAGGAUGUCUUGCACAGCAGUGGCUAACCCCAAAGGUACUUCCUAACAGAUUAAAGAAGACAGUUAUUAAAAUGGAGACACCUGGUGUCAUUAUAAGAUCAUUCGUGUGGAAGGUGGCUGCAGUGCUCCACGCAGCGAAGGGGAAAUGGCUUAUGCGAAAUCAAAAUGUCUCUGGUGCCUAUUCUUCUUAGUUUGUGCAAUUUGUGUGGGAUGCAUGCGGCGCCACUUCUCAGGCCCGUUCCUUUUGGCAGCGUGAAAGUCUGAUCAGGCAGGAAGAGGAAGGCAAGGGCUAAGGAAGCAGGGCUAUGGCAGGACGUAGGAAGUUUGUUUGCAGAGAUGGUUGGGUCAAGGAGAGGAACUGUGUUCAAACACCAGGGUUGAGGACGCACACUUUCUGCUGGAUUUGAAGAGUAUAAUAUAUUAGAAAAGGCCCAGUAAUAAUAAAAAUAAAGAAUUAUUAUUUAUACCCCACCCAUCUGGUUGGGUUUCUCCAGUCACUCUGGGCGGCUCCCAACAGAAUAUAUAAAAAAGCAACAAAACAUCAAACAUUAAAAACUUCCCUAAACAGGGCUGCCUUCAAAUGUUUUCUAAAAGUCAGGUACAGUGGUACCUCUGGAUGCCCCGUUCCGGACCCCUGUUUGCAUCCUGAAGUGAACGCAACCCGCGCAUGCCCGUGACUUCAUUUUGACCGUCUGUGCAUGCACAAGCGGCGAAACCCGGAAGUAAGGCGGAGCGUAACCCAAAAAUACUUAACAUGAAGCUACUUCAAUCCGAGGUAUGACUGUAGUUGUUUACCUCCUUGACAUCUGAUGGGAGGGCAUUCCACAGGGAGGGUGCCACUACUGAGAAACCCCUCUGCCUGGCUCCCUGUAACCUCACUUCUCACAGUGAGGGAACCACCAGAAGGCCCUCAUCGCUGGACCUCAGUGUCAUCGCUGAACAAUGGGGGUGAAGACUGGGGGUGGAGAGAGGCCGAGGCCGUUUAGGGUGCUCUUCAACAUAUUUGGCAUUUGUUUAUAAAGAUCUCUAAAGCUCUCAGUCAAAUGAGGUAUCUAAGCACCGUUCGUAAUAACAUUGUAGAUAGCACAGCUAAAAUCCACAGAACUAUUAUGAAUACACAAAUACAUGUCUAGGGGCUGCUACCUCCACUCACAUUGCUUGCCAACGAAACCCCACAUCCACUUGCUAACCUACCAAUAGGUGGUCACAAGAACUGCAACAGUACCACUUUCUUCCUUGCAAAAAUUAUUAUAUGGUAGGAAAUACUUAGCACAGACACACAGGUUUUGUCGGCACCUGUCUGUCUUGAGAGACAAUGGAGUGCGCCUCUGGGGGUGAAGUCAAACUGCUGUGGUAGCAGCACUGAAGUCACCUCCUCGGCAGUGUGUAUGGAUGUCCUGCGCUGCUCAGACAACAAGACUUUAGAGUUUUUAGGGGUUUUUUGAAUGUUUUAUGUAGUUUUGUAGUAGUUUUAUGUAGUUUUGUAGUAGUUUUAUGUAGUUUUGCAAUUUCAUUGUCCUGCAUGGGACAAUGACAAUAAAGAUAUAUCGUAAGACCUUCCCUCUAGGCCUCACUAAUGUGGUCCAAUGGGAAACACAGCAAGACGUUUGACAUUUUUACAGCAACUCAGGUGAAACUUUUCCAUGGCAGGUGUGGCGUUUGCCCUCCUAUGUAUGUGACAUCAUACUGGGUUCAUAGGGAAAGGGUUAACUAAUUGUAAAAUGACUAAUCAAUGGGAACCCAGGGGGGCAGAGUUAACUGUAUACAGUGGGACCUCAGGUUAAGUACUUAAUUUGUUAUGGAGGUCAGUUCUUAACCUGAAACUGUUCUUAACCUGAAGCACCACUUAGCUAAUGGGGCCUCCCACUGCUGCUGCACUGCCGGAGCAGAAUUUCUGUUCUCAUCCUGAAGCAAAGUUCUUAACCCAAGGUAGUAUUUCUGGGUUAGUGGAGUCUGUAACCUGAAGCGUAUGUAACCUGAAGCGUAUGUAACCCGAGGUACCACUGUAUAAGGUUUAAGCACAGAGGCUUUUUUAGAGAGUAAGAGUUGUUUAGAAGACAGUCUGGAGUUAGAAGAGACAGAGAAGAGAAGUCUGUGGGUUGGGCUAGUCUGGUGUGAGAGAAUUUGUUAAGAGGAGUCAGUCAAACACCUGAGAUAAUCAGUCAGAAGGUAUUAGGAAGGUAUAGGCCGGUAAAGAAACUAAAGUUAAGAUACUGACAGGAAUAUUAUCUUAGAAACCAUAAACUUGUUAAUGUUUGUAAAAUAAACUUGUGGUUUUUUUUGGUUCACUUUUAACAACUGACUGGACUCGGUGUUUUACUAGAGAGUAACUGGUUGGUGGCAGUGGGGAAGCGAGCACAAUGGUGGCACAGGGAUCAAUAGACCGUUAAACAUCUGGGGACCCUGUGUGAUCGCCACAGCAGGUAAAUAGGAUCACUGCUUAAAAGCCGCACAUCAAGCUGCUGUUGAGGGCACUGGAGCAGUGCUGGUAAAAAAAAAGUUGGCAACCCUUAAUGGGCUUUGAAGUGCACUGAUUGCUCCACUCACUUACAGUCAAGAGCUUGCACCAGUUUAAAAUCCGCUGGGCUCAGCUCAGCCUGCCGGGUCCCAGCUGAAUGGGAAUGGAGGAGAUAAAUUGGUGUAUCUCUGGAUGGGUGGAGGAUGAUUGCACAAGGAACAUGUCAGCUCAGGGAGAAAUCUGCUGGAUCCUAACCCACCCACCAUAGCUGCCAACUUACAGAUUUGAAAAUAAGGGACCAGCAGCCUCGAAAAUAAGGGAUCAGCAGCCAAAAUAAGGGAUUUUAGUCAACCAGCUGAAAUACAAAGUUAAAAGGGACCAGACAAUUUUGGAGAGCAGCGCUGGUUUUUAGCCCUUCGUUUCCAGAGGUUGCUGCUCAAGACACCAGCUGAUGAAACACUGCAAUUAAAUAACUACAAGCAGCAGCCAAGCAACACAGUUGGAGCCUCCCUCCUCUCUGGCUGGCAGGGAGGGAGGGAGGGAGAGGAGCUGCUUCCUUUGAAACCCGGGAAAUUUAAGGGACAUCAUCAAUAAGGGACAGCAGAGGGACACAGUGCUGGGAUAAGGGAGUUUCCCACCAAGUAAGGGACGGUUGACAGCUAUGCCACCCACCCCAGCAGAGCUUGCUAUAGGAUCUUCAGCCUGUUCCAUCUUUGCUACUGUAUGAUGUCACGUUGAAACCUUCUUGAUUUAUUCUAGGCCCCCAUGGUCAUUUCGAUCUCUCUCCUUUCCCAUCUGCUUUGAAAAGCACAGCCGUUAAUGGCAGAGCUCAGCAGACAAGCAAACAACAACACUUUAUUGGAAGCUGUAAUCAAUUCAGAGCAGUUAAUCCGGCCACUCAUUGCUUUCUAAUACAGGUAUGAUAAAUUAAAUAAACGGCAAACAAUUCUCCAGCAGUGGAAAAGGUGAAACAGCACGUGCUCGACAGAUGCAACUUCUCUGCUUUCACAUACCUGAAUGCUAGGCAAGAUUUGACUUGCUUUCCAGCGAUUACGGGAAUUUGUCACCCUAAUGCUGUCUGGCACAGUCAACCGACCACCCUUGCAAAUUGGGCUGAUCGGCUGAAUUUGUUGAGCAAGGCUGGAGUGCAUAAAUUUAUGCUGAUAAUAUACUAAACCAGCCGCAUGGGCCCUAAUGAAUUGAUCGGAAUGCAGAUAAAACAUAAAAGCAGCAAGUGACUGGAAUUUCAAUACUUGUUACCGAAACGGCAAGUACAUUUUUUUUUUAAAAAAAUAAAAUAAAACCGUGAAGCCUCUCAAAAGGACUGAAUGGUGUUAUCAGCGCAAGUUGAUGCAUUUGAGACUCAGAGGCAAAUCCCAUGCAGUUCAAUAGACCUUGCACCCAGGGUGUUGCAUGGGGUCGCAGCCUUCUUUGAGGUGAGGAUCAGCGUGAAAUGUCGAGGUUUGCACAGAGGCACUGUUUGUUGCAUGUCACCCCGGUCUCUGAGUAGCAACAGACCACAAGGGUUCCAGCAGAGACUGAGGAUAGGAUAGAAGGGCUCACAACAUUCACACUUGAAGAGAGCUUGCAUUCCUGUUAGGUUUCUAGGGAAGCCCCAAGCCAUAGCUCUGAGUCCAACAUGGAGCAAGACCAGCCUCUGUAUCUCUGGCUUCCAGCAUACCCUCCAACUUUUCUCUGAUAAAAAUAGGGACGUCCUAUUCAACAACAACAACAACAUCUGACUAGGUUGCCCCAGCCCUCUGGGCAACUUCCAACAUAUAUAAAAACAUAAUAAAACAUUAAACAUUUUUUAAAAAUAUUCCUAAUAAUAAUAAUAAUAAUUUAUUAUUAUUUCUACCCCGCCCAUCUGGCUGGGUUUCCCUAGCCACUCUGGGCGGCUUCCAAACGAAUAUUAAAAGCAAUACAGCAUCAGACAUUAAAAACUUCCAAAAACAGUUGUCUUUUAAAAGUAAAAUAGUUGUUUAUUGCCUUGACAUCUGAUGGGAGGGCGUUCCAAAGGGUAGGCGCCACUACCAAGAAGGCCCUCUGCCUGGUUGCCUGCAACCUCACUUCUCGCAGCGAGGGAACUGCCAGAAGGCCCUCGGCACUGGACCUCAGUGUCUGGGCUGGAUGAUGGGGGUAGAGAUGUCUUCAGAUGUCUUCUGAAGGUUGUAUAGUUACUUAUCUCCUUGGCUCAGGGGUUGCAUAGCUCCACACCCUCCAACAUUUCUCUGAUGAAAAUAGCAACGUCCUAAGGAAAAGCGGAACAUGUGUGGCAUCAGAAACUGGGAAGGCUUCUGUAAAUCCUGGAUUGUCCCUGGAAAAUAGGGACACUUGAAGAGUCUGUAAACCUGUCCUAUUAUUCUGUUCCACUUUCUGAGAUGGGUGGGGUGGGAUCAGGGGAGCUGUGGUUUCAUGCCAUCAAUGGCCCUUCACUCUCUGCUGGAGGGGGGCAUCAUUACCAGCCCACUGCUCCCCCUACUUGACCUUAUUUCCAUCCUGGUUAAGUGUAGCGCUGUUGAGCAGAGUGGGUGAUCCUGCACGGGGCGGCAUCAGUCAGGAAAGAAACUGGACCUAGCUUCUCCUGGAAGACACCACCAGUGAUCAGAGGAGGGUCCUGCCUUUUGCGUGUUCAGAUCCAGAAACCUCCCCCCUAAAUAAAUUCACACUUGACUCAAAUUUUGGUUUUGGUUUUUGGCAGAAUUUAGGCCACAACUUUAUUGAUUACAGAAAGUGACUGGUUGCAUAGGCUAGCUCCCUGCCAUGCAGGUAGCGCUGACCCAGGGUUCCAGCAUAGGUCAGCCAAGGGUGAACACCUGGAUAAGUGGAAAGCCGGGAACAGGCUAUCUGCACCACCCAAAUGCCCCCCUGGACUCAGGCAGGGGGCACAACCCCCUCUCAGGGGUUGACCAAACCAUCGAAUCCCUGGAUUCCUUUAACGGAAUACCCUUCACAUAGGGAUGGCAAGAGCGUUCUCCUAUCACCUGAACCAGAGCCUAUCCGCAACCUUACAAGUUGUGACGACUUGCUACGCGGCAGGCGAAACGCAAAUGACAACAGCCCAUCAGCCAAGUGGGGAAAAUUCCUGCUGUGCCCCUGUCCCAAUGACAGACGACACACAACAGCAUAGCAAGGUCAAGCGCAAAGCCCUAAAAAGAGGGAGAGGUGGGCAGGUGUUCUGAAUGCAUGCGCCGAAAGAGGAAGCUCUGGGUCACGUGCAUGGGCAUAAAUAGGUCCCUUGAACUGUUUGGACUGUGUCCCAUUGGCCAGAUUGCACCCAGCUUUGAGGGGCCUACCAAUUGGGUAUUGUGGCUGACCAAUCAUACCCACCCAUAACACAGGGUGUCGGUUUCCAGGUCUCACCGCAAUACAUGCCCUCUUUAAGGGAGGACCCGAUUUCUGCAGGGUUUUCCUUCUCCAUCUGAUGCUGGCAGGUGUGGGUUGCUCUGGGAUAUCCAGCCUGAUCAUGGCUGUCUGAACCCAACUCAUUGCGUAGCAAGGCCCCCCCCCCCCGGAAGUGGAAUAAAGACACAUGAAACAGUAUUUUAGGUUAAUGGGCGAAAAAGGCCACAACUUUAUUGGUUACAGAACGUGAGUGGUAUUGGCUUAGGCAUUGGAAACCACACGACUAUAUCUGACUUCUGCUCAUCUGCAGGAAUCUUGGAAGGGUUAACCACCAGAAUGGGGAGCCCUGCUAAUGCACAUCAACUAGGAACUCCCCCAGGGUCACUGCUAGGGGGCGUGUCAUGGCCCUAGCCCCGCACCUGGGGCUUCGGACAGGGACCACGCCCCUCAGAUUCCUUUAAUGCAGCCUUUCUCAACCUGUGGGUCCCCAGAUGUUGUUGGACUACAACUCCCACCAUCCCUGAGCUCUGGCCUUGCAAGCUAGGGGUGAUGGGAGUUGUAGUUCAACAACAUCUGGGGACCCACAGGUUGAGAAAGGCUGCUUUAAUGGAAUACCCUUCAAAUAGGAGGGGUAGGUGAUGGUCACCACCUCCCCUCACCUUCAACCUAAUACUCCAAUGACCAUGGCUGUCUGAACCCAACUCAUCCAACACCCAAGCCCCUCUAAAUAGGCCCAAUUUGGUUUGGGCCUUGGUUGAAUCCAGUGCACAGCCUUCAGUAUGAUUCAGCUCCUCUUACCUGCAGUGCCGAAAUAAAUAAAUAAGCUUGACUCCAUCCUGCAGAGCUUGUUCCUCAAUCCACAGCUGAAAGCAAAGCAAGCCAGCAUUCUAGAAAAAGAAGAAAGAACUGAUUUUUUUGUUCCGUUAAUUUAUUCAACUGUGAUGGCGCUGAACCAUUUCCCAUUAUUCCUCCCCUUUCAGAAUCAUUAUAGGAAAAGUGGAUGGAACCUAAUUAAAACAUCACUAUAAAAAGCUAUAAGUGAUCAUGAAUAAAGAGAUAUUCAUGGGAAAGAGAGGUGGUGGUGGUGGGGAGAAAUAUAUAUAUUUGCUUGUGCUGGGGGUACUUCCCCCUCCCUGUCUUUCUUCUCUGAUGGGCUGGUGUAAAAGAAUCAGGCGAUCAGAACUGAAAAGCAAAAGUGAUUUUGAGCUGGAGCUCAAAGGAGCCCUGCAUCCGAAAUGCAUUUUGGUGCAUGUGAAAUUUGAUUUAUUCAAGGUCAAGACUUCUGCAAGGCUUCUUUCAGACGUGUGGCAAAAAGGGGAAACGGAUAGGAGACUGCGCUCCUCUAAGGGCAAGCUCAAACAUUUCCUUUUCCCUACUCUAGUGCCGUCUGCUUCCAACAGCCAGCGCAGGCACUCAUAGCUGAUGAGCCUCUUUCUACUCAUCACUUCCCUCAUAUUCUUAGCAAGCAGCAGGUCAUUCCUGCUUUCUCCCCUGCAAGCCCUCUGACCCCUGACCAAAAUUACAGAGGCCUGCCCCAACUCUCAGCAGUAGCAUCUAAACACAGGGAGGCCUGGGUAACCAACACCACUUUCCUUUCACCCACGGGGCCAGUGGUCCUUGGAAGCACCAGGGCAAGGGUGUGUUGUGGGACUCAGCCUCCAGAAGGUCCUAUCAUUUAGGGUGACCUUCCUCAACUUGAAGGCUCCGAAAUGGUUUUGACUACAGCUCCCAUCAUCUUUGAUCGUCGUCCUGGAUACUGAGCAGAUAUUGCUGGAGGGAGUGGACCAAAGCAAUACAGUGGUACCUCGGGUUGCAUAUGCUUCAGGUUACAUAUGCUUCAGGUUAUAGACUACGCUACCCCAGAAAUAGUACCUCGGGUUAAGAACUUUGCUUCAGGGUGAGAACAGAAAUCGUGCAGCGGCGGCGCAGCGGCAGCAAGAGGCCUCAUUAGCUAAAGUGGUGCUUCAGGUUAAGAACAGUUUCAGGUUAAGAACAGACCUCCAGAACAAAUUAAGUUCUUAACCCGAGGUACCACUGUAUAGACCAGGCAACCUGAGAUGGAGAAUUGCUGUACAGUCAUACCUUGGAUCCCGAAAACCGAAAACCUGGAAGUGAGUGUUCCAGUUUGCAAACGUUCUUUGGAACCCGAACGUCUGACCCCCGCUUCCGUGGCUUCCAACUGAGUUCAGGAAGCUCCUGCAGCCAAUCGAAAGCCACACCUUGGUUGUCGAAUGUUUUCGGAAGUUGAAAGGGCUUCCGGAACUGAUUCCAUUUGACAACCAAGGUACGACUGUAUAGACUUGCAAAAAAAUGCAAAGACACUGUUAGCGCCAUCACUGACAUUUACCCAGCACCAUGUCAGGAUGGUGUCAGCGGCUGCUAGCUGGUUGCCCAGGAAAGUAUAAAGACAAGGAAAAGUUUCUUACAGUCCUUUUUUAUUUCAGUGUUCACAGAGAGAGGCUAUAGAACCCAGCCUCUUGGAUAAUGGCGUUGUCCCGAAUGAAUCUUCACUCCCCGUCUCUCCCACUUCCUCAUUCAUCACUUCUACGGGUGCUGUUACAUGCCCUCCAUCUUUGAGCCCUUUGCUCUCCUACUUUUAAGGCUCGCCGGGCUCUGGGAGAUGGAGGCUCUGGAAUGCUUUCUAAUGACAACGUGUCAGCUGGGUAUUGCUCUGGCUCUCCCAUGAUUUCCCAGCUUUCCCCCUCAGCCUCCCUCAGCCUCCUGUUGUAAAUCUAUACUGUCUUCCUCUUCCUCCUCCACGGAAGGGUCAGGAUGGCAGGCGGUCUCCACCAUUCCUCCUCUGCCCAGUCCCUGAUGCACCAUCAGUAUCAUGGCUCUUUAUAAAGAUGGCAGGACUCCGUUCCACUGAACUUACCGUCUAAACUUCCAAAUGAUGGAGAUGACAAAGUGAGGGGGAAAAUAUAUGGGUGCAGGAAGAUUCUACAAAGAGGAUUCUUUAGGGUAGGACUAUCUUUUUUUGAAAAAUGCUUUUUAUUAAGUUUGCAUUUCCAAUACACCAACAAAAUACACAAAUAUUUCAAUUUUUUUUACACCUGUCUUACUUUAUGCUCCGUAGAGCAGGUGACUUCCCUCCUUCCCUUCCACAAGGUUUUUUUAUUCCAAUCACUAAUCCACAGUUCCUUAAUAAUAACUAAACCAUGAGAUAAGAUUUAUUUCAGUCCUGCUAACGUCUUCAAAUUUCUACAGUUCUCACUUAUAUAGACCAUAAAUUUACUCCAUUCUUUUUGGUACUUUGUUUCCUCCUGACUACGAAUCCUGUGGGUCAGUUUUGCCAAUUCCACGUACUCGACCAACUUUGUCUGCCACUCCUUCACAGUUGGUAUCUCCUGUGUUUUCCAUUUUUGGGCUAUCAAAACUCUGGCAGCUGUUGUAGCAUACAUAUAUAAUCUUUGGUCCAUCUUAAUAUCCUCUCCUAUCAAACCUAGCAGUAGUUCUUCAGGCUUUUUUGGGAAUGCACAUUUAAGCAUCUUUUUAAAUUCAUUAUAGAUCAAUUCCCAAAACUCUUUCAUUUUAUCACAUGUCCACCACAUGUGGUAAAAAUCCUAUUUAGGGUAGGGCUAUCAGUGGCUACUAGCCACAAUAGCUGUGUUCCACUGCCUGAGUUUCUGUGCCUCUGAAGACCAGUUACUGGAGAAUUGCAGAUUGGAGGAGAGUUGUUAUGCUCAAGCCCUGUUCGUGGGCUUCCCAUUAUUAGAGUAUCUGGCCUGCCACUGUGAGAACAGGGUGCGGGCCUUUGGCCUGAUCCAGCAGUGCUCUUCUGAUGUUAUUUUCACAUACAUCUUCCAUGUAUAUUUUCCGUGCUUUUGUAUACGUUCUUUGGCUGCCUUGCAAAAUUCGGAGACAUGCAAAUUUUGAAUGCACCUUUCCUGCAAUUGCAUGUGGCAAUGUCUUCAAGAAAAAGAAAAAGAUAGGCAUCAAGGGAAGUUAGAGAUUUUUUCUGGGGUGCAGUUCAUGGCACAAGGGGGCAAGAAAGAUAAGUUGCUUGAGGACUAUUAGAUUAAUUUGUUCAAAUUUUUAAAGCAGACUCUGAAACUGAGGUCUUGAAAAGCGUGUGGGAGAGACUGCAUCUAACCCUCUUUGACCAUAUAUAUUUCAUCUCCAUAUAUCAUUGCUUGUCUGAGGCCCGAUUCCACCUGCUUGAAUUUAAUCAAUAGCCUCUUUAAUAUUUGUCUCAAUUAGGAAAGGUUCUGUUGCAGCCCAGUGAAGAAUGUGGACAUUAAUAUGUUAAAAUAUACAUUAGAGGGCAUUUUCUUCCUCUAAAAAAAGUAGAGAGAUUGUUAUUAAAAAAUGCUUUUGUGCUCUAUCAAUAAUAUAUCACGAGCAAAUUAGUGUCUGAAUUAAUGGUGUGCAACUGGAGCUGGGGGGGAAACCACCCUCAUUUUAUUACAUAGUAAAAUGUCUUUAAUUGUUGGAGUAGAACCAUUUUAUUGCAUGCCAUUACUUUUGGUAACAGCCCCUGUCCGUUGGUUGACCAGGAAAUGUUAUCAGACAGAACCAGGCCGAACAUAAAGAUGGAAAGAAUAACAUUAUUGGGAAGGCAUCUAUAUAGAUUCCAGUUAAAAAGGUUCAUAAAAUUUCAUUGGCGGAGGUGCUGGGGGGGCGACUCUUCUCCCCCUGCAUUUUGAUUCAGUCUUCUACCAACUCCCAUCACUUCUGUGUCUGGUCCUACUCCCUUCCCUCACUCCAGCACCCUAGGAGUGAGUUUGGGGGUGUCAAAGACCUGUUGCUAUUUUCCCUGCCUCCAGCAUCCUCGCACCACCCAAUCGGGAUGAAAGGGGAGCUGAGAAGCAGGAAGAGCAUCGUUCACUUUCUAAAAGAACACAUGAACAGAAACAUAGCCGUUCUUCCAAAUCCACUCGUCUCUGAAUUUCAUUGCCUAUGGGAGCCAGUGUGGUGUAGUGGUUAAGAGCGGUAGACUCGUAAUCUGGUGAACCGGGUUUGCUUCCCUGCUCCUCCACAUGCAGCUGCUGGGUGACCUUGGGCUAGUCACACUUCUCUGAAGUCUCUCAGCCUCACUCACCUCACAGAGUGUUUGUUGUGGGGGAGGAAGGGAAAGGAGAAUGUUAGCAGCUUUGAGAUUCCUUCGGAUAGGGAUAAAGCAGGAUAUCAAAUCCAAACUCCUCCUCCUCCUCCUCCUCCUCUUCUUCUUCCUCCUCUUUCAGCCUCUGUUGCUUUACCACUUGUCACCCAAAUCUGCUUAUCCCUAGUGGCCGUUACCCCUAUUAGUGUGUGACAUCCUAGCUCAGCUAUGUGCAUCAGGAAUGAGUUGCAUGUGUUUGCAUGUGGCAUUCAUUUAGACUGCCAGUUGUGUGGGAGUGACCUUAUCUGUCCAGGUAACAAAAAGGACAAGGCACGCAGCGCUAUCUCUCUCUCUCUGACUUCCUCCAUCGUUGGAGCAGCUUUCUAGCUAGAGAUGCUCUGUUGGCUUCCAGCCAACAGAGGACACUGGGAUUAACCCCGUAUGGGAUAGAUCCACAUGCAUAUACUUUGCAACUAAGUCUGCCUUCAGGGAUCCAACUGUGGACGGAAUGUGUGAGUAAACUUCUUUUAUGGGGGAAGUGGAAAUCUCUCAUGGGAACUCCAAGGCAUGGCCUAACUGAGAUACAGAAAGCUGAAUACUGAGCUCUGGAAAGAGAGGAAAAUACAAUUGUUUGGAAUUUAGAAGAAGAGACUGCAAGCCCAUGUUUGGAGAAGCACGUGGCUGUAAAUAUUAAGUUUUAAUUCCUCUAUGUCUCUGCAAGUUAAGGUUUUUGAAUGUUAAAGUCUGGACAAUGGUUUAAUUUCCAAAGAAGGGUAUCAUUCAUAUAUAAGAUUUGAGGUUAUUAGCUGCAAUUUCGCUACUCUUAAUUGCCCACUGUAAGAACAGGGUGCUGGACCAGAUAAGCCUUCAGCCCCGUCCCACAGAACUCUGCUUAUGUUCUUAUACCCUGCAUUUGAUCAUGUAUUUAUUCAUCUUCAUCUUUUUGUCAUUAAAGGAAUUUUGUGGUGACGCUGUACAAUUAUACAAAGCCAAUAAUUCAUACCUCUACGCUAAAGAUAAUUUUUUUUGUUAGCUCUUUAAAGUGUUCUUAAUAACACUCGAAGGCACAUUUAAUUUAGAGUAGACUUCAAAGAGUAAUUAUGGUGUUUUAAAGCCAUAGAGCUAAUUAAACAGCACACAUUAGGAGUUGAUGGCUACAAACAGAGGUAAAGAGGUUUUGAUUUCUGUAGCCAAUUCUGCACUUGUGUUCUUUUUUUGCCAGGGAACAAAUGAUUCCAUUGAAGGCUUCUGUCAGUAUUAGAAUCAUAGAAUCAUAGAGUUGUAAGAGACCCCAAAGGUCAUCAGGUCCAACCCCCUAAAUUGCAGAGAAGUUAAAUUGAUGCCAUGCUAGGUGCUGUUCCACAAGUGGAGAAACUCCCCACCCCCACAGGCCUAAUACCAAGCCUAUACAUUUGUCUUGCAAGGUCAUAUAUAAUGCAUAUGUCUAGUGAGAACAGCAUAUAAAAAUGCAUUAGAUUAAGGUGCUGUGGGGGAAAAAUUCAUUUAUUUAUUUCAAACACAUUUUUAUACUUUGUUGUUUAGUCAUUUAGUCAUGUCCGACUCUUCGUGACCCCAUGGACCAGAGCACGCCAGGCACUCCUGUCUUCCACUGCCUCCCGCAGUUUGGUCAAACUCAUGCUGGUAGCUUCGAGAACACUGUCCCACCAUCUCGUCCUCUGUCGUCCCCUUCUCCUUGUGCCCUCCAUCUUUCCCAACAUCAGGGUCUUUUCCAGGGAGUCUUCUCUUCUCAUGAGGUGGCCAAAGUAUUGGAGCCUCAGCUUCAGGAUCUGUCCUUCCAGUGAGCACUCAGGGCUGAUUUCCUUCAGAAUGGAUAGGUUUGAUCUUCUUGCAGUCCAUGGGACUCUCAAGAGUCUCCUCCAGCACCAUAAUUCAAAAGCAUCAAUUCUUCGGCGAUCAGCCUUCUUUAUGGUCCAGCUC